rnacentral:rRNA from 1 species
UACAGAGGGUGCGAGCGUUGUUUGGAAUUAUUGGGCGUAAAGGGCGCGUAGGCGGCGCGGUAUGUCACCUGUGAAAUCUCCUGGCUCAACUGGGAGCUUGCAGGCGAAACUGCCGUGCUGGAGUGUGGGAGAGGUGCGUGGAAUUCCUGGUGUAGCGGUGAAAUGCGUAGAUAUCAGGAGGAACACCUGUGGCGAAAGCGGCGCACUGGACCACAACUGACGCUGAGGCGCGAAAGCUAGGGGAGCAAACAGG